GUUUAAGUUCACAUACGACAUUUUGGAAGCAUGCAUUUUGUCAAAAUUUUCAAAGCCUGUUUGUGAGAUAUUUUUUUCUUGAAAAAAUUGUUAUUUUCAACAUUUUGGAAGCCCAGCGACGGUAUGUUUUUACAUUAAAUUCUACAACUAUUAAAAAUAUGGUUUUUAUUUGAAAGACCUUCGAUAGAACUAUAUGCAUUUUAAUCUAUGCAGUGUCUAGGACCGGUUUAUAUACACAUAUCUUUGAAACUGAAACUAACAGAUUAAUGUGUCGCAAACCUAUUCUAAACUAUUAGAAUAAUAUGCCGUAAAUUUGUUCGAAACUAUCAGAAUUAUUUCGAGGUUAGCACCCUCAAAAUCUGGCCUACAGUUAAUAUAUUCAAAUGUAUUCUAGGGUACAAAUGUCUGAAUAUGGUCUUGAGAAGAGCAGCUCUAAAUAACCGCCAAAUGUUAAGUGAGGUUGAAGUUUAUCCAAUCCAUAUUAGAAAUGGAAAGAUCAUUGAAAGAAGUUUUUCGAAAACAACAUUAAAGAAAUACUUAACCCCAAGAUUUCUUUACAGUCAAUUAUUUGUUAUAUUAGAGAUACAUAAGAUACACAGAACGUUCGUUUAAUCUUGUCUAAAAAUGUCUUCAAAGAUCUAAACAAGGAUAUCGUUUUCCAUACAAAUUUGUAUUUAAGAUUUCAAAGAAGACAGACUUGUUUGGAUGGAACAUGGCAACGGUGAUUUAAAAUCUUCCAAUUUUGACGGAACAGAUGUAAUCAAAAUAUUCAGCACGAAUACGAUAAAGGCAAAUGGAGAAAUUUCUGUACAUGGUAGCACGACAUACUGUGCAAAUGAUCGUAACAUAUUAAGCGUCGAAGUAUUAGCAAAAACAACAGCAAAAGUAAUUCAUACAGAUUCAGGAAGAGUAUUGGGUGUAUUUUAUUAUAAAGAAAAAGGUAAGGUAAUACACGACGAAUCUUUGUGUAUUCAAUAAAAAAUACAAACUGGAUCACAAUAAAUCUACCAUGGAUACCAGAAAUGAAAUUUGAACACCAAACGUGCAUUUCGUGUUCAAAAUAUUCAUCAGUGACGCCCGAAUAAAAAAAAUUUAGAGGCCAAAAUAUAAGGAGAGUAUUGAAAAUUAGAUGGACAAAGAACUUAAUUUUAAUUUUGCAUCGGAAAAAAGACACAAUUAGAUUGUAUGAUAUAAAAACUGGUAAGGUGUGGUAUGAUUUUAAAAAGUGGAAGCAAACAUUCAUGACCAUUCUAGGACUUUCAACAGAGUAAUCCUCAUACCAUAUUAUCGGCUAUAAACGGCCCCG
rnacentral:lncRNA from 1 species